UGCGGCCAUGCCGAGUGGGAAAAUACUGUUUCCCGUCCGAUCAACAACUGUCAAGCCACUCAGGGACACAGUGAGUAAUACAGUGGGAGACCAUGUGUGAAAUUGUGGUGCUGCAAUU